GAGGAGCAGAACGCAGCUCAGACCCGCCUCAGUGGGAAAGCUCUGACAUCGACGUCAGAGAGCCCACCACCAGGAAGAGGAGCUCCGACCACCACAGAACGGGGUGGAGAAGCAGCACAAGGCGGAGGAGAGGCCCGAGAGAGAGGAGGAGUCAGGAGGAGGAGAGGGAGGAGUCAGGAGAGCAGGAGCAGAGAAGGCCAGUGAGGAGAGGAGGAGGAGGAGGAGGUCCCCAGUAUCUCCGUGGACCUGCCCCACAUGACCCUCCCAGAGCGCGGGGACUCGCCUCAGCCCCUGUCGCCCCUGUCCACCAGCCCUGACACCGGCCUGAGCUCGUCCAGCAGUCUGCCGUCGCCCUCGCCCUUCGACCCCGCCUCCUCGCCGUCCUGAGCUCCGCCUAC
rnacentral:lncRNA from 1 species